rnacentral:rRNA from 1 species
UACAGAGGGGGCUAGCGUUGCUCGGAAUCACUGGGCGUAAAGCGCACGUAGGCGGAUUGCUAAGUCAGGGGUGAAAUCCUGGAGCUCAACUCCAGAACUGCCUUUGAUACUGGCGACCUUGAGUCCGGGAGAGGUGAGUGGAACUGCGAGUGUAGAGGUGAAAUUCGUAGAUAUUCGCAAGAACACCAGUGGCGAAGGCGGCUCACUGGCCCGGUACUGACGCUGAGGUGCGAAAGCGUGGGGAGCAAACAGG